UCCUGCACAUUGCUGGCCACAGAACCUCAACCACUCCUGAAACAGACCCCUAGCCUCUGGCUGAGUUACUGAAGUCCUCAAAUCAUGGUUUAAUGACUUCAUGUUACAGAAAAUCCACUACUUGCACUAAUAUAAAAC